AGAGUUUGAUUAUGGCUCAGAUUGAACGCUGGCGGCAUGCCUUACACAUGCAAGUCGAACGGCAGCACGGGGGCAACCCUGGUGGCGAGUGGCGAACGGGUGAGUAAUGCAUCGGAACGUGCCCGGAAGUGGGGGAUAACGUAGCGAAAGUUACGCUAAUACCGCAUAUUCUGUGAGCAGGAAAGCAGGGGAUCGCAAGACCUUGCGCUUUCGGAGCGGCCGAUGUCGGAUUAGCUAGUUGGUGAGGUAAAAGCUCACCAAGGCGACGAUCCGUAGCUGGUCUUAGAGGAUGAUCAGCCACACUGGGACUGAGACACGGCCCAGACUCCUACGGGAGGCAGCAGUGGGGAAUUUUGGACAAUGGGGGCAACCCUGAUCCAGCCAUGCCGCGUGAGUGAAGAAGGCCUUCGGGUUGUAAAGCUCUUUCGGACAGAAAGAAAUCGCAUCGGCUAAUACUCGAUGUGGAUGACGGUACUGUCAUAAGAAGCACCGGCUAACUACGUGCCAGCAGCCGCGGUAAUACGUAGGGUGCGAGCGUUAAUCGGAAUUACUGGGCGUAAAGCGUGCGCAGGCGGUUUUGAAAGACAGGCGUGAAAUCCCCGGGCUCAACCUGGGAACUGCGCUUGUGACUUCAAGACUAGAGUACGGCAGAGGGGGGUAGAAUUCCACGUGUAGCAGUGAAAUGCGUAGAGAUGUGGAGGAAUACCGAUGGCGNNNNCAGCCCCCUGGGCCAGUACUGACGCUCAUGCACGAAAGCGUGGGGGAGCA
rnacentral:rRNA from 1 species